GAUAAAGCUUCAUAAGAGGAGAAACUAAGAAAAUAUUAUUUUUGAUUUUCUACAUAGACAAUUAUACCUCUGUGAACAAAGACAGUUUAUUUCUUCCUUCCCAGAGAUUGAGAGAGCAAGAAUCGUAGAUAUGAUAGCAACUACAAGAAACUUUGGCUCCAUUCUACACGACGGUUCUACCUCUGACUUAAAACUAGGGUAGGCUUCCUUAUUGCUCCUCAUUGCCAUUUCUGGAACAUUCUCUUCCUUUCUUCCCUAAUAACUACUAGCUUUAGUCACAUAAGCCACCAACUAUUAUAAUCAUCAUCUAAUUCCUAGAGUCAUUUUCUCCGAUUUCUCAAAGAAACCCUAGAAUACGUCACUCUCCCCGAAACUUUUCCUUAUUUAAUUCUUACUUAUUUUAAUGUCCAUAUAAAUAAACUUCUAAUCUCCUGGCUUCUUACUUGAACACCUCCACACCAAUACUUUUGAUUUCCAUUCUACUUCAGCAGCUUAUCUUCAUGAACAUGCUCUAACUUUUCCAUGUGAUAUGUCUAUUUCAGUGUUAAGUAUCCAUCCCUCCACAUUUACCAUCUUCUACUAGUCCUUUGACUCCAACAGUCCUUCAACCACAACAAUACCAUUGAUCUAUAAACUUUUCUCUAUUGCUCAUCUCGUCAUAUGUUGAGACUUCUCUCCUCACUCAAACUAAAAUCCAACGUCAUAAUUAUACUAAUUAUUUUGAACAUAACCUCAUAGGCCUUACAAAUUUUUGCCCUUUAUAUUUGCUUGGUAAAAUCCCAACCCUGGUUAAAUACUAAUGAAGCUUAACUUACCUGGAGAAAAAUGGAUAGCCUUACGGACUGAUCUCAUUUAAAAUCCUAUUUUCUUUAAUGUGUCUUUACCUAUCCAGUUAUCCUACUAUUUCCCUGGCCCAUUCAGUUUUUCACUUCUUAAAAUUCUGUAUUAUUCUUCUCCUUUCUCUUUAAAUUUUCAACGCCGUUUCACUCUCACUUGCAACUUGUGCUCAUUAUUUUAUGAGAAAAUUAUUAAAGAAAUAAGAUAAGACAUUCCACAAGCUUCCCUCAACUCAUUCAUCUAUCCUGUGUUACAUCUGAAAUAUGUUUCCUGCUUCUGUUCUCCCCAUAUACCAGAGA
rnacentral:lncRNA from 1 species